GCGUCUGUAGCCUAGUUGGUAAAGGCAGCACUCUAGUAAUGUGUCUCAGCUAUGCUGAGGUCAUGGGUUCGACUCCCAUCAGACACA
rnacentral:tRNA from 1 species